AGUGAACGCUGGCGGUAGGCCUAACACAUGCAAGUCGAACGGCAGCACAGUAAGAGCUUGCUCUUACGGGUGGCGAGUGGCGGACGGGUGAGGAAUACAUCGGAAUCUACUUUUUCGUGGGGGAUAACGUAGGGAAACUUACGCUAAUACCGCAUACGACCUACGGGUGAAAGCAGGGGAUCUUCGGACCUUGCGCGAUUGAAUGAGCCGAUGUCGGAUUAGCUAGUUGGCGGGGUAAAGGCCCACCAAGGCGACGAUCCGUAGCUGGUCUGAGAGGAUGAUCAGCCACACUGGAACUAAGACACGGUCCAGACUCCUACGGGAGGCAGCAGUGGGGAAUAUUGGACAAUGGGCGAAACCCUGAUCCAGCCAUACCGCGUGGGUGAAGAAGGCCUUCGGGUUGUAAAGCCCUUUUGUUGGGAAAGAAAAGCAGCAGGUUAAUACCCCGCUGUUCUGACGGUACCCAAAGAAUAAGCACCGGCUAACUUCGUG
rnacentral:rRNA from 1 species